rnacentral:rRNA from 1 species
CGAAACUUGUAAGCUUGAGUACGGUAGGGGCAGAGGGAAUUCCCGGAGGAGAGGUGAAAUUCGUAGAUAUCGGGAGGAAGGCCAAAGGCGAAAGCACUCUGCUGGGCCGAUCACUGACACUGACAGACGAAAGCUAGGGGAGCGAAAGGGAUUAGAUACCCCUGUAGUCCUAGCCGUAAACGAUGGAUACUAAGUGUUGCGCGACUCAAAGCGUGCAGUGCUGCAGCUAACGCGGUAAGUAUCCCGCCUGGGGAGUAUGCCCGCAAGGGUGAAACUCAAAGGAAUUGACGGGGGGCCAAGCAAGCGGUGGAGCAUGUGGUUUAAUUUGAUGCAACGCGAAGAACCUUACCAGGGUUUGCAUGUCAUCGGAAUUUGUGAAAAUAGAUUCUUUUUUCUUCGGAAGCGAUGAACACCAGGUGGUGCAUGGCUUGUCGUCAGCUCGUGCCGUGAGGUGUAUGAUUAAGUUCAGUAACGAGCGCAACCCUUGUCUUUAGUUACCUUUUUACUAGAGAGACCGCCAGUGAUAAGCUGGAGGAAGGUGAGGAUGACGUCAAGUCAGCAUGCCCCUUACACCCUGGGCUACACACGUGCUACAAUGGCCAGGACAAUGAGAUGCUACCUCGCGAGAGCACCGCCAACCUCAAAAACCUGGUCUUAGUUCGGAUUGCAGGCUGCAACUCGCCU